UUAAUAAUAUUUGGUACAGGCUUCCCUGAUGGGAAUUAAUAGGGAAAGUGGUGAAAAGCCACUGCAGCCCCCGCUUCUGUAAGGAUGAUGAAACUCACAAUAUACCACUGAAGGCAUGAGCUUUUGGGAAGGUGUGAGGAGUAAAAUGAUUCUAAGUCAGUAGACCUACCUGUUUCUAUGGAUAUAG
rnacentral:ncRNA from 2 species